AACAAAACCUCGUAAGCUCCAUGAUCUGAAAAUGGGUUGUCUGUUUUGCAAGAAAAGCCCUGGACAGUUGGAGGACCCUACAAUGAUUGAAGCACAUUGGCCCCAAGAUCUUAUGGUGUCAGUGCCAUGUGUGGACCAGUCUGAGGCACCUUUUGUAUAUGAGCAUGAAACCUUUCCCUCUCACUAAUGGUGAUGUGUCUGCCAAUGUCAAUACACCAUUCAAAAUCUCACCUCACAGUAGCCACCACCUGUGUAUGAGUGCUUGGCCUUUACACUAUUCCAAUCCUGUGACCGAGGACUGUACCCUUAAUGUGGAAUGAAGGAAUAAGACAAGAUUAUAUGUGAUGUUGUCAUGAUGACAUUCUGUAAGCUUAUUUGUAUUUUGUCAUUUUUGAGAUACAUUUGCCGGGUUUGAACAACAUUUUGGUCAUAAUUUAAAUUAUUUUUAGAUGUUUUAGAUUUUCUAAAACAGUGAUUCUCAACUACUCUAUUCUAUUUGGAUUCUAUCCAACUGUUCUAUUCUAUUUCUACUUAAUUUUGUCCCGGUGCUAAAGGAG